GAACAAUGGAAAAAUUGCGGAACAAGAGACCGUGGAUAAAAUCGAAGAGAGUUAACAUGUGUACACAACACUUUUGAUCUAUCUAUCCGCCAU
ensembl:ncRNA W09B12.3 ncRNA